rnacentral:rRNA from 1 species
UAAUCGGGGCAGGGUGAGUCGACCCCUAAGGCGAGGCCGAAAGGCGUAGUCGAUGGGAAACGGGUUAAUAUUCCCGUACUUGGUGUUACUGCGAAGGGGGGACGGAGAAGGCUAUGUUGGCCGGGCGACGGUUGUCCCGGUUUAAGCGUGUAGGUGUGUGUUCCAGGUAAAUCCGGUUCACUUUAACACUGAGGCGUGACGACGAGGCACUACGGUGCUGAAGCAACAAAUGCCCUGCUUCCAGGAAAAGCCUCUAAGCAUCAGGUAACAYSAAAUCGUACCCCAAACCGACACAGGUGGUCAGGUAGAGAAUACCAAGGCGCUUGAGAGAACUCGGGUGAAGGAACUAGGCAAAAUGGUGCCGUAACUUCGGGAGAAGGCACGCUGACACGUAGGUGAAGUGAUUUACUCAUGGAGCUGAAGUCAGUCGAAGAUACCAGCUGGCUGCAACUGUUUAUUAAAAACACAGCACUGUGCAAACACGAAAGUGGACGUAUACGGUGUGACGCCUGCCCGGUGCCGGAAGGUUAAUUGAUGGGGUCAGCGCAAGCGAAGCUCCUGAUCGAAGCCCCGGUAAACGGCGGCCGUAACUAUAACGGUCCUAAGGUAGCGAAAUUCCUUGUCGGGUAAGUUCCGACCUGCACGAAUGGCGUAAUGAUGGCCAGGCUGUCUCCACCCGAGACUCAGUGAAAUUGAACUCGCUGUGAAGAUGCAGUGUACCCGCGGCAAGACGGAAAGACCCCGUGAACCUUUACUAUAGCUUGACACUGAACAUUGAGCCUUGAUGUGUAGGAUAGGUGGGAGGCUUUGAAGUGUGGACGCCAGUCUGCAUGGAGCCGACCUUGAAAUACCACCCUUUAAUGUUUGAUGUUCUAACGUGGACCCGUWAYCCGGGUUGCGGACAGUGUCUGGUGGGUAGUUUGACUGGGGCGGUCUCCUCCUAAAGAGUAACGGAGGAGCACGAAGGUUGGCUAAUCCUGGUCGGACAUCAGGAGGUUAGUGCAAUGGCAUAAGCCAGCUUGACUGCGAGCGUGACGGCGCGAGCAGGUGCGAAAGCAGGUCAUAGUGAUCCGGUGGUUCUGAAUGGAAGGGCCAUCGCUCAACGGAUAAAAGGUACUCCGGGGAUAACAGGCUGAUACCGCCCAAGAGUUCAUAUCGACGGCGGUGUUUGGCACCUCGAUGUCGGCUCAUCACAUCCUGGGGCUGAAGUAGGUCCCAAGGGUAUGGCUGUUCGCCAUUUAAAGUGGUACGCGAGCUGGGUUUAGAACGUCGUGAGACAGUUCGGUCCCUAUCUGCCGUGGGCGCUGGAGAACUGAGGGGGGCUGCUCCUAGUACGAGAGGACCGGAGUGGACGCAUCACUGGUGUUCGGGUUGUCAUGCCAAUGGCACUGCCCGGUAGCUAAAUGCGGAAGAGAUAAGUGCUGAAAGCAUCUAAGCACGAAACUUGCCCCGAGAUGAGUUCUCCCUGAGACUUAGAGUCUCCUGAAGGAACGUUGAAGACGACGACGUUGAUAGGCCGGGUGUGUAAGCGCAGCGAUGCGUUGAGCUAACCGGUACUAAUGAACCGUGAGGCUUAACCUU